CUCUUAAUGUCCAGCCCGGGACCUGCGCCCCUGGCCCAUUGUUAGCCGGCUUUUCCACGGCAGCUUUGCAUCUGACUCCUGCGGGCAGCGGAAAACGAGAGGCGGCUCUCGAAGCCUGCUGAUCUUCCUUCGCCAUCAACUUCUCAGGAGUGGCUGGAGAAAGAUAGAUGCAUGUGCCAAGAGAGACAGCAGCCCCAGGUCCUUGUGUCCAAAUCCCCGUAGCCUGGGCGGCGGCCAGCCAAAACAAUGCCGUCCCGAGCAGGCUCGUGCGGCUCCUGGCACUCUGGGUUUCAUACCCGUAGGGCUCGGGUGCGGCCAAAAGAGAGCACGGAUCAAGAGCAGGACGGAUCAAGAGCAGGAGGGUAGACGACGACGUGGGGAAAGCUCCUUUGGCGUGAGACUCCCAGCGUUCUGCGGCAGCCUGCUUUUGUAUCCUCAAGAUUUUCCUAAAACGUGAAAAGGGCUCCUAAACGCUGCUCUCUGGGACUCAGCAGAGAGGAAAUAAAUCCACAGAAUGGCAGAUGCUGAAUUCCGGGAGGAAUUUGAUGCUGAGAUUCAUGGAAGGGAUUCCUUCCAAUACAAGGAAGACCUGGAGGACUAUGAAGCUCAGUCCUUUUUCUGGAGACCUAAGGGAGAGUAGGUCCCUUUUGAGGUGAAUUUAGAAGAGUCCCGUCCCCCCCCCCAUCUUCUUUAGGCGUGAUAAUGAACCGCGAAGCAUCCUCAGUGGAGACCUGGAAUUCGAUAGCUUGUGGGAAGAGCUUAAGACCUUGUGCGGUUCCAAGGUUGAGGCCUUGGCCGAUGGGCUUUCGGUGCGGGGGAAUGGAGAGGAGCCCCGGGUUCUUGGUGUCGGCGCCCCGCACCUGUGCGCCCCCCGCUGAGCCCGAGGCCGGCCGCCUUUGUUUCUGCCAGGCCGCUCUGCGCUUAGCAGCCUGGCGCCCUGCUUGGGCGGCAGCUGGGAACCAGGCAGCUCAGCGGGCCGGGAGCCUGGCAUUUCCCGAGCUGCGGCAGCCACUUGAAACCGCGGCCUCUAUCCCCAGAACUCGCCGAGCUUCCAAGGCAGACGCUGGACCAGGCCUCACGCCGGAGUCGCGGUGCUGCCGCAGCCGCUGCCAGUUCGCUUCUGCCAGAACUCCACGCAGAGACCCGUGUCCAGCCAAAGAACCCCCUUUGACACGGAUCGUAAUCAGAAUAAAAACUUUAUUUUUUUGUUUUGUUUCUCAGAAUGUGAGCAGCAAGGAAUGUAAAACUCUCAAAACAAAUCUAGCAUUUUUAGCGUUCAGUUUGGCCAGAUGUUACAAACCUAAACCACUAUUUUCAAACUCUGGGUCCUCUCUGUUCUUAUUGCAUUGCUACGGUUUUUAAUAAAGGAAUUUUAUUUCCCUUUCAAAUAAAUUUUAUAUGUAUGCCAAUACACCAUUGAACAAAAGGCUCAAGAAACCUUCUGAACAAUCAGGGUACAGAAUUUCUUUAAUAUAAAUACGAACGGAUGGGGAUAAAUAAUAUUUAAAACUUAGACUAUUCAAUGCUUGCAAAAAAUAUAAAUAAAUCUGACUGUUCACAAGCACACACAC
ensembl:processed_transcript Hoxaas2 Hoxa cluster antisense RNA 2